rnacentral:rRNA from 1 species
UACGUAGGGUGCAAGCGUUGUCCGGAAUUAUUGGGCGUAAAGAGCUCGUAGGCGGUUUGUUGUGUCGGCUGUGAAAUCCCGAGGCUCAACCUCGGGUCUGCAGUCGAUACGAGCAAACUAGAGUGUUGCAGGGGAGACUGGAAUUCCUGGUGUAGCGGUGAAAUGCGCAGAUAUCAGGAGGAACACCGGUGGCGAAGGCGGGUCUCUGGGCAUGUCCUGACGCUGAGGAGCGAAAGUGUGGGGAGCGAACAGG